AUUGAACGCUGGCGGCGUGCUUAACACAUGCAAGUCGAACGAAGUGGCGAACGGGUGAGUAACGCGUAAUCAACCUGCCCUUCAGAGGGGGACACCAGUUGGAAACGACUGCUAAUCCCGCAUACUGAAGGAGGGGAUUGCGUCGGAUUAGCUAGUUGGAGGGGUAACGGCCCACCAAGGCGAUGAUCAGUAGCCGGGCUGGGAGGAAGAACGGCCACAGUGGGACUGAGACACGGCCCAGACGCCUACGGGAGGCAGCAGUGGGGAAUCUUCGGGAAGGGACGAAAGUCUGACGGAGCAACGGCGCGUGAGUGAUGACGGCCUUCGGGGUGUAAAGCUCUGUUAAUCGGGACGCGGUACCGGAAUAGAAAGCCACGGCUAACUACGUGCCAGUAGCCGCGGUAAUAC
rnacentral:rRNA from 1 species